CAAUAGCGUAUAUUAAAGUUGUUGCAGUUAAAAAGCUCGUGGUUGGAUUUGUGGCGUACGGUGUGUUCCGGGCACUUGUUGUCUGAGUAACCUGCUGUUGCCAUCCUUGGGUGGAACCUGUGUGGCAUUAGGUUGUCGUGCAGGGGAUGCCCAUCAUUUACUGUGAAAAAAUUAGAGUGUUCAAAGCAGGCUUAUGCCGUUGAAUAUAUUAGCAUGGAAUAAUGAGAUAGGACUUUUUUGCUAUUUUGUUGGUUUGCGCAAAGAGGUAAUGAUUAAUAGGGACAGUUGGGGGUAUUCGUAUUCCAUUGUCAGAGGUGAAAUUCUUGGAUUUUUGGAAGACGAACUACUGCGAAAGCAUUUACCAAGGAUGUUUUCAUUAA
rnacentral:rRNA from 1 species